GAGAGAGAGAGAGAGAAGGAAGGGGCCUCAACCUCCUCAGAUUUUAAAUUAGGCGAUCAUAUCAGCAAUCUUUUCAAGCCUAUGGAGUAAUCAUUGGCAGUUGUAAAAGGCAGUGAAGAAAACAGAUACAGAUCUAUUGAUUAGGUACCAGCAUUCACCGUGCAUAUAAACUACAUAAUACAAAUAACAUCAAUCUACACAUAUAAAACCAACAAUCCAAAGGGUUCAUUUUGAUUAUUAAGCAUUAAUUUUAAGUUUGUAAGUUCAAAAUGGAACACCUGAAAGGGGCAGAUUAUAUGCAGUUCAAGGAAGAAAAACAAAUGUCCACCAACAUGAUAUUGAUCAUCUUGACUAACAGAAGACAACAAAUCGAUAUUACCUCAGUCCAUAGAUCAAUUCAAAAAGGAAUAAUAAUGGUUCAAUUAAGUUGAAAUAAGUGGGAGAAAGAAAAUAUGCUGAGAUAUUAUACAAAUAUAAUGUGCUGUUUAUGGAGAAUUUCUCAAACUUCCUCAUUGUUAGCCUCAGCAAUCUGUUUAGGAACGGGUUAGCCAAUAGGCAAUAGCUAUAGAAAAAGCAUUAACCAACUAAUUCUGUUAGAUAUGCUACGCAUUAUUAUCCAUCUAUAUUGGUGAACCAAAAUUCAUUAACCAGAAUGAGGUUGAAAAGACAAAGCCUGAGCCCCUGAAGAUGUUAACUGAUAUGGCCAUAUCAGCUGUGAAGUAAACAUAGAUCCACAUUCAAGUAGCAUUCACCCAAGCAUAUCAUUAGAUCGACUACCUCCUAUAAUUAUUAAAAAUUUAGAUCUCAAACAACAGAUAAAUGACCACUCAAUAAUUUAUAGCUAUUCAAUUGAGAAUAAGCCUUGAUGAAUUCUCCUUAGUAACACUUCAAAGAAGAAACAUGCUAAUAUAACAAACAACUGAGUACAAAAAUCAAAUUAGUUCCAUUCCUUGGAAGGCCAAAGUAAGGAGCCGGGGAAAUAUAUUAGAAUAUUAAAAAACAAAAAGGCUCGGCUUAUGGCAAAAUUUUCUCAAACAUCCAACCAUGCACUGCAAAGCAUUUAACACUGCAGGCAAAAUGACUUGGAAGCUUUGAGAAUUUUUCGCUUCAGGGAGCAAACUGUUUCAGAACUGGCUAGUCCCAGCAACCUAAAAGAAAAGCUUCAAAUGACCAAGUUGACAAGUCAUUGAAGCUUAAAAAAAUUGUUUGACAUCACAAAUCAAGUACAAUAAUAUAUCAAUCUUCCAACAAUUAAAAUAAUGAAGUGGGAGAUUAGUAUUAAUAGAAUAAGAGAAGAUAAUAGCCUAAGUAACAAAUCUACCAGAGUGAAUCAGAAAUUAAGAUAUCAUAUUGGCAAGAUAAAAGUUAUAGCACAAAUGCUUAUCAUUUCCGAUCUUUUUCCAUUGUCCCACAAAGAAAGAAAAGAGGAAGGGAGGGAGAAGAUAACAAAAUAACAAAACUUCAGUUUAAUAAAAUGAAAUGAUUGGUUCUACUGAGCUUAAAAAGAAGCUUUAAUCAACAUCUUAACAAAUCCAGCCAAAGUAUCAUACCAAACAUAUUAAAAAAAAAAAAAAGUAAUAAAAGUGCCAAAAGAAAAGUGCUCCUGAAGUAAAAAUCUUCUCAAGCCUCAAAAUACCAUAGUGCAUCACAUGGUACACCACAGUCAACACAAUACGAAGACAUGAGGCACUUUAGCUUCAAAUGAACGAACCAAUGAGGAACUUAUAAAUCCCCAGUGGUCAGAGAAAGAAGCCUACACAAACAACAUCUAAGCCUUAAUCCCAAACUAGUGAAGGGUCGACUAUAUGGAUCCCAGGUCCACAUCAAUAUAAGCCUAUCCAAAACACAUUGAGAGAGAGAGAGAGAGAG
rnacentral:misc_RNA from 1 species